CAACCGUAUCGGAAGGUGCGGCUGGAUCACCUCCUU
rnacentral:rRNA from 1 species